rnacentral:ncRNA from 1 species
CCAAAGGCUCUUUUCAGAGCCACCCACAAUGCUCAUGGAAGAACG